AUGUGAUACGCCAUAUGUAUGUGCAUGUGUGUAUACUUGUGUGUGCAUGUACAUGUGUGUAUAUGAUUAUACAUAUACAUACACACAUACACACACUCACAGGCAAGAAUUUCACUCAUCUAUACUUUUUA
rnacentral:miRNA from 1 species